CGUUGGUUGGUGGGAACUGAAAUCGGGCGGUUGGCGCUUCUCUAGUGGCAGCAUGUCCCACCGGCUGUGGAAGCGUUAUGCCCUAGUGGAACCCGAGGCACCAUGUGGAGAGUCACAGGAAGAAGCUCGACUUCGGGUCAAGCUUCUUGCUUGCAAACAGCUUCGUAAACAUGUGUCGCGCUCCGAGCGGGACGUGGCCGAUCGGUUUCAGCCAGCUGCUGCCGAGUGGGAGAGGGACGGAAGCUCCAGUUACUCCCUUGACCGCCAGGUGUCACCGGUCUUCAACCGGCCUUUUGGCAGGUCAGGUCGGCUGCUCAGUCCCUCCGACCUUGACCUGGGUCGGGAUCGGUCUCACAGCCCAGCUCGUAAAGUGCGUCUAUAUCACGUGACCGAUAUAGCCGAACUGAAAGACAGACUAUCCGGGUCACGUCACGAGGACCACGCCGAGGCGUACCACUCGCUGGCACGUGACCACCUGAGGUCCCGUCCGUCCGACUCGCCGCCGGCCCGCGCGAGAUCACGUGACGGCCGCCGGAGGCGCUCUAGCUCGCCGGUGCACCGAAGCCGGUCCGC